UUCCUAAAAAAAAGUUAAAACGAGGAGAUAGCUUGGAUGAAAAGCAACGGCCGAUGCUCUGUCCAGCCGGCUUAACAUUAAGCCAACGGACAGAAUCAAAAUCAACGAUCCGUUAUAAAAAUGGAGAAAGCAAAGCAAAGCACGUAACAGAAGACUGAUUCUAAUUCCUUCUCACCUAAUCGAUCUCUCUUUACAACUAAACCUUCAUCAACAAACACCUGUAGUUACAAAGCCCUCAUCUAAAAAUUUCAUAAAAUAGGCCUCAUGGAAAACAGCUGCAGCUUCAUUUCAUGCGACAAGCUAGAUCGUAUGGCUACCUGGGUGGGCAGCAACAUGGCCUCCGCGUUUUUUGCAUCAUUGGAGCGCUGCUCCUGUAUUAACCUCAGCACCACCGAUUUCGAUGAUGAAGAGGAAGCCAAGGAUCGCCCUCUAAUGCUCACCAAGCCCAUCGUCCACGACGAAACUGAAGCUGAACCACAACCCGAACCAGCCUCUCAGACCCACCCCACCGCCAAUCAGCUCAACGUUUGAUUAUUUCUUCUUGGUUCAUUGUGGUACCAGAGGAGCAAUUUUUUCCCUUUGAAGGGGAGCUCUUUAUCCUAGUCAAUAGUUCCUUUUGGCGCUACAAAAUCUUCUUGUCUACUCAUUAAUCUUGUAAACCUGGAACUCCGAAUUGUUCACCUGAUAUAUUAUCCUGAACUUCCUAAAUCUGUGCAAAGAUAAAAGAGUUUCUUGUAUUGCUAUAGUUGCUUUUAUUUUUUUUAUGGCAAGAGCUUUAAUUAUCUAUCAAUGAUUCUCUGGGUGAAUGAGAUGUCAACUUGAUAUAUAUUUAAUUCAGGGGUUCUACCCUUGUGAUGAAAUCUUUGUUCGGUUUAGUAUCUGGGGGGAUUUGUCACCUGUUGUCUCUUUAGAUCAUUGAUGAAUCUUUUUCAUAUUCAGAACCUCCUAAACCAGAAUGUUGAGCUAGAGCAAACCAUUGAGAUUCUUGUUGCUGUGUAUUAAGUCGAUAACAUUUAGGGAUAUGUUGAUGCAUUGAAAUUCUGAUUAUUAGCAAUAUUAUGGUAAUUGAAGAUUUGCUUCUCAAUUUAAUGUUGCUUAGCAAGUCUUAAUCCCAUAGAUUCCGUGGUCAAAUAUUAGGUGUCAAAAAUUGCAUUUAUAUGUCCGGCUAAAUGUAGAUUGGCAUUACUGAGAGCCCCGCCAAAUGAGACACACUCACAACAUACAACAAAAAGAAAUUAUUGCAUCAGAAGCUAGUAGUAGUGGUUCCUGUAAACAGAUAUCAUAAUCCUCUUAUCAAAAUCCAGAUACUAGAAUCAUGAUACAUAAUUUCAGUUCUUCAAACAGCUUGUGUAAGAUUUUUAGCUUGGUAUGUCUACUUGUCUGCCAACUCUUUUGGGAUUGACCAGAAUAAGAAACAAAUUUAUGAGGCAUGAGGAUGCAAUUCUAUGCAGUAGAUUCUCCUGAUUCAGGACGAUUGCUGUGUGAAAGAACAGUAAAUGAAAUGAAAAUUAAAAAAAAGUUCAAAAGCACAGAAAGGGAAAUUGAAAGCAUUUACAUUACAUAGAAAGGAUAAGUUCAGUGCUUUGGUUUUGAAUUUACACUGCCUUGCUCUUGAUUUCUCAUCUAUCCCUCUUAAGAUCAUUCAGGUGAAUCAUGACAAAGCUAUUAUUUAUCCUUGGGGUCUCUCCAGCAAAUCAGCAUCAGCACGCAGCGCUGGAUAAUGUACAGCCUUGCUCGCUUCUCCUUUAAGAUCCCACUGCUUGGAAACUGAACUUUUCCUUGUUUCCUCACCGAAAAAGCCCGACAUCCUGUUGCCAUGAGUUUUCACUUACAGCUUUUUCUUGAAUUGCCAGAGGACUAGAUAAAGGAAUCUCAUGUGCCAACCUCUAGGCCCAGUGGAAAUAUAUGGGAAACUGAAAAAACGGUUGAAACUUUUAAUGGCUGCUCUGUGUUUGUCAGACAACUUGGUGUUGGGUAGGUCCAUCGUCAACAUAUUCAUGGGAAGGGAAACAAAAGAGAGAAUGGAUCUGAAAUUACAGUGAACGUUUGAGGUUUCAGAUCACUAGCUGAACAGACGGCAUCGAGAAAUAAGGGAUUUCUAUGCUGUUUUAGAUUUUAGCUUCAAGAACAGCCCUAUGAUUUGGUUGGAAUGCAGGCUUAAGGGUGCGAAAAGGUUGAAGUUAGCCUUUCCCCUUGAAAGCUAUUGCAACCCAAAUCAGGGUACUAAGGAUUCUAAAGGAAAAUGCCUACAAAAAAGAAAAAGAUCAAAGGAGCCCGUUUCAGAGUUCAUUAAUAACGAACGAUUAUGUUUCCUGUUUCUUUUUUAUUUUAAUGUUUUCCACAAUAGGAGAGUUAACCAAAAAUGACUGGCAACUGGAUUGGAUUAUAUCAGGAAAGCAGGCAGACUGGGACGGCUUUCGCAUUUGUGUCUGCAACCAUAAAGACAGGGACCCUUUAGAGGAACCUGUUUUUCUCCAUUUGUCAUGCAAAUUUUGCUGAAAUUAAUUAUACAUAAAAGAGACCUGAUUCUGUCUUACUGCCCAAUAGCUUCCAAUUAUAUCCAGCA